ACCACUACUUCCCCGUGCGAAACAUCGAGUCUUGUUUCCGAGAGUGCGGAGAUAUUUCCCUUGUUUGAGAGAUGGCAAUGGUCCUGGAUUCAUUUGUUUCAAGAUGCAUUGAACAAGUGACAGGCUUUCUUGAGGGAGAGAUAUGCAAAGUGGUGGGCGUGAAGAAGGAGAUCAAGACGCUACAGGAGAAGCUGGAGACGAUCAAAUGUUACCUCGAAAGUGCAGAGCGGAAAAGCCGUGGGGAUCCCGGCAUCGAGGCCUGGGUGAGGAAGCUGAAAGACAUCAUGUACGAUGCCGACGACAACAUCGAUCUGUGCAUGAUGGACGGUGGCAAACUGUUGGAGGCUGGGGGAUCAGCAUCGGCUUCGGGGGUAGGGUGAUUCCCUUUGGGGAUUAGCAGGCCGUCAGACGUGGCGGUUGGACGGUUGCUCCAUCCGUUGUUGAGAGGAACAUGUCCCUACUUUGGCGGGUGAGGGACAACACUCCAUCCACUGUUGGGAGUGCGAUAUGAGUUUGCCUUCAUCCCCUAUUGGAAGAAUACAAACUCAUCUCGUAUGAUAAAGCCUCUCCAUCCGCUGUUGGGGGAGUACUUCUUCGGAUAUUUAAUAUAUGUCAAUAUGAUGAUUGAAUUUUGAUCGUGUAUACAUUUUGAGUUAACUUUUGGAGUUCUUACUCAAUGUUGCUGAAUUUUUUUUAUUUUUAUAAUAACAUUCCUCUAGCACUAAAUCGGAUUCUAGUGGAGAGCGGAUCUUCAUCUAUCGCUAGGUAGAACCACUUGGAUUAUUCUUGAAGUUAACAUCACUAUAUUUAAUUUUCUACUUAUGAUUUGAUGAAUAAAAUAUAAUAAAUAUUUAUAAAUAAAAUAAAAAUAAUAUUUAUCUACUUCUAUGUAGAAAGAUAUUAAAAAAAAAAAAUUUACUGUUUCCUAAGCAUCACUUACUAUUGGGAGUCUCGUACAGUCUAAAAAUUCGUAGUUCACAUCAGCUAUUGCAUCCUGCAGACGUUGGCGUUCUGUCGAAAUGUCAAUGCUUGCUGAUAUUUUAAUUGGAUGAUAUAUUGCACUGGUUUUUUA